AUGGACAAGCACAGUGCAUACAACAUUUUGAAAAUUGAGGCCAGACGCUCCCUAUCAUCUCAGCAAAGACACUAAUUCAGCAGAGCUGGCCAGCGAAUCUUCGACAGGAAUUGAGGAUCUGAGCAACUGGGAAAAAAGGGAUGAAUGGACAUACAAAUAAGAGGAGAAGGAAAGGGGAAAGAGAUGAAGGAAGAGGAGAAGGAAAGGGGAAAGAGAUGAAGGAAGAAAAGAAGGAAAGAAGAAAGGAAGGAAGGAAAACAGAAAGGAAGGAAAGAAGGAGAGCAAAAUAUUUUCUGCCACUGGGGAGGAAAAAAGGAUUAGAGAGACUAUCAAAAAC
rnacentral:lncRNA from 1 species